GAUGAACGCUGGCGGCGUGCCUAAUACAUGCAAGUCGAGCGAACAGAUGAGGAGCUUGCUCCUCUGACGUUAGCGGCGGACGGGUGAGUAACACGUGGAUAACCUACCUCUAUUACUGGGAUAAUUUCGUAAAACCGGUUACAAUAACAGCUCAUACAUUGAACCGCUUGGUUCAAUAGUUCAAGACGGCUUUCCCGUCUCUUUUAGCCGGUUCCGCGCCGCAUUAGCUAGUUGGUAAGGUAACGGCUUACCAAGGCAACGAUGCGUAGCUGACCUGAGAGGGUGAUCGGCCACACUGGAACUGAGACACGGUCCAGACUCCUACGGGAGGCAGCAGUAGGGAAUCUUCGGCAAUGGGCGAAAGCCUGACGGAGCAACGCCGCGUGAGUGAUGAAGGUCUUCGGAUCGUAAAACUCUGUUAUUAGGGAAGAACAAAAGUGGAAGUAACUAUGCACGUCUUGACGGUACCUAAACAGAAAGCAACGGCUAACUACGUG
rnacentral:rRNA from 1 species